AUGUUUCAGGAUUCCCAAGAAGUUGGCCUGAAAUUUGGCUUGAAAGGGGACUGCUGUAACUCUGUAAACAAUCUGUGUAUGAUUCUGUGAAUAGUUGACGACCCUGGCCUUGUCUCCAUAGAAGAAGCUGCAAGAUUAUUUCAUUUUACCUUUCAACAUUAUUUCAUUUUACCUUUCAACCAACACGGCUGACAUUUUGUUCAUCUUUGCGAAAAAUGGAUCAAAGUAGUAAUUAAUCAAGCAUUUGAUUUUAUUUCGUUCGAGCUAUAGCUAGACUUGUUUGAGUUAGGUCUUUUUCUUUAACUUACUGCAUCUCGAAUUUAAGAGCAGUUCCAGUGUGGGAACCCUCCCCCCAUGCUAUUCACUAUUUAAUUCAUCUAGUAAACAAUAACUGCCCUUAAUGAACAGUAAUUACCUUUUGCAUCUCUAUCCCUACACUUAAAUAGUUCUGGCGAUAAGUAAAUAAAAUAAUAGUAUUUUUUGCAACUUGCUCACAUCACUCACGUCACUUCCUCUCUUUCCACUCAUCCUUCUCACUUCUCUCCAUUUUUUCUAAAGUUCCUCUCUCUCUCUCU
rnacentral:lncRNA from 1 species